rnacentral:rRNA from 1 species
GGAAUGUGCAAACGUUAUUCGGAAUCACUGGGCUUAAAGAGUCCGUAGGCGGCAUGUUAGGUGAGGUGUGAAAUCCCCCGGCUCAACCGAGGAAUUGCGCUUCAAACCGGCGUGCUCGAGGAAGAUAGAGGUGGGCGGAACUGAUGGUGGAGCGGUGAAAUGCGUUGAUAUCAUCAGGAACACCGGAGGCGAAAGCGGCCCACUGGGUCUUUUCUGACGCUGAGGGACGAAAGCUAGGGGAGCGAACGGGAUUAGAUACCCCGGUAGUCCUAGCCUUAAACGAUGAGCACUAGACCGAAGAAUCUCCACGAUUUUUUGGUCGUAGCGAAAGUGUUAAGUGCUCCGCCUGGGGAGUAUGGUCGCAAGGCUG